rnacentral:lncRNA from 1 species
GUCACUCUGUAAUUUGUCUGCGCCUCAGUUUCCUCCUCUGCCUAUCAAUGUGUGUGGGGUUGAAAUCGCUUUGUAAACUAUAAAGCGUGGGUGUACGUAAAGGAUGGUUAUUGUUUAUAAUUUUUUUUGAGUUGUAAGAAAACUUAGCAGUUCCCCAAUCCUUGGGUUUUGAACCUGGGAACCUUGGAUUGGAGUUGGGGAUCCCCAAACUUCCUGAAAUUGUGGGAAUGUGCGGUUUGGGGGAAUGAUGGGAAUUUGUGGGAAUGUGCGUUUUAGGGGAAUGAUGAUCCAUCGCUAGCAAGUUUUCCAAGGGGGCUGUGACCCAGAAGAGUUAAGAAUCACAAUUUCUUCAUGCUACAGAGAGGAAACUGAGGCCUAGAUGUCAUUUGGGACCCUUCACAACCAUUUUGAAGCCCUGUUUGAGUCCCUGGGAUAUGUGAGCUGUUUCUAUGCAUAAUGGAUAUUCGGGGUUAACAACAGUCCCCUGCUUGGCUUCUAUUCUGAAUCCUUUUCUUUCACCAUGGGGUGCCUGAAGGGUGGCUGAUGCAUAUGGUACAAUGGCACCCAGUGUAAAGCAGCUACAAUUAGGAGUGGAUGUGUUCUGUAGCAUCCUAUUUAAAUAAGCCUAUUUUAUCCUUUGGCCCGUCAACUCUGUUAUCUGCUGCUUGUACUGGUGCCUGUACUUUUCUGACUCUCAUUGACCAUAUUCCACGACCAUGGUUGUCAUCCAUUACUUGAUCCUACUUUACAUGUCUAGGCUGUGUGGUUGGUGGUGAAUAGGCUUCUUUUUACAUGGUGCUGCCAGCCCAGCUAAUUAAUGGUGCACGUGGACUUUUAGCAAGCGGGCUCACUGGAAGAGACUGAACCUGGCAUGGAAUUCCUGAAGAUGUUUGGGGUUUUUUUCUUUCUUAAUCGAAAGUUAACAUUGUCUGAAAAGUUUUGUUAGAACUACUGCGGAACCUCAAAAUCAGUAGAUUUGGAAGUGAUUCAAAGCUAAACUUUUUCCUUGGCCCUCCUUGUGUUCUAAUUGCUUGCAAGUGUAAUACUAGGAUGUCCAAGAUGCCAGUUUUUGCUUCUUUGUUAGUUGUCAGCUGCUUUUAUCAAAUUUCAGGCCAUUAUCCAACAAACACUAUAAAAAUGUUUGAACAAUUGGAUUUCAAACAUUUUCGUUUUGUGGAGUGGUGCUCACCAAGUGGUACAGCCCUAAGCAAGUGAACACAAACACAUUUAAGUGUAUUUUGUCUGAUUAGAUGUUAGCCAGUUAUGCUAUUUCAUUCAAAUGUCUGAAAAAAUCAAUUGACUAUUCCCUUUUCCUAAAGGGCAGAGACAGAUAAUCUCACUUCCAGAGAAAUGACUUGGAGAAAAAAAAGUGUUGGUCUUUUUGCUCUUUUGUAAUUAAAUCCGGAUGUACCUCAAAAGACUUAAGACUGUGGUGAUAAGAUGCUUUCCUCAGCAGAAAGGAGGGAAAAAAAACAACUGGAACUCAAAGCUUGAAAUUCUGUGGCAAAACAUGAGAUGUCCAGGAUUGGAGGUUGAAAAGAUUUCACUACAGUGUUCUGCAAUAGUUGGAGCAGAUAACUUUCAGUGUAGCCACAGCCAUGGACUCCAGAUUUCCAGAUUUUCAAGACCUGGACCUGGAACCCGAAAGAGCUUGUCACGAUGCGGCAGGAACACUGGAGGUAGAUUUUUUUUUAUUUUUGAAUUUUGGGACUGUUGACCUUGCUGUGAGAAAAGAGACAACGACUGAGCAAGCACUACCACCAGCACUGUUACUGGGAAUUAGAAGACCUGAGUUUCUGUCCAGACCCUCAGUGCAAACUGAGGAUGCUCCAUCCAAAGUGAAUUAUGCCUACAGACCUGGUACCUGGAUUUUUGCCCGAGAUGAUUCCUACCACCUUACUACUGACGAAGACACCCAUUCCAGUGGACCACUGUGACCCAGGAGGCAUUCAGCCAUCAUGAUGUGGCCUUUACCUCCACUCCUGUCUUGUUCUACCCAGAUUCAGCACAGCCCUUUAUAGUGAAGUCAGAGUCCUCAAGCCAAAUAGCUAAAGCUGUUUUAUCACAACAAAGGCCUAGUUUGUUCCAUGAGUGUGCAUUUCAUUUCUUCAGUUAAAGCCUUCAGAGACACACAAUAAAUUUGGACCAGGGGAUUUUUUAGUUAUUAAUGCUCUCUGAAGAAAGGCAACAUCUUUUUGAGAGCAGCAUUGGACCACACCCCACAAUCUCAAAUGAUUGAAAUUCAUGAACAUCUAGGAUCCCGUGAAGGUCACUGGACCCUGUUUUUUCUACUUCAAAUCCUGUAGUAGCCUACUGAAUGAGAAAACAUAUUCUGACCCAUUGGGAUCAAAUCAAAGGCACAGUGAACUCCUCAUAGCAUCUUCUUUGGAAUUACUCAGGAACCAGAACUUUUUACACAAAUGUAAGAAAUUCUACCAAGGAGUCCCCUUACCUAACAGCAUCUCACAAGGCUGCACCAGAUUCCAGAAAAGGCUUCUCUUGAUACAUCAAGGUAGAACCUCUAUGGUAAAUCCCUCUGUUUAUAAUGCACUUUACAGUUUCAAAGCACUUGUACGUACAUUUAUCUCAAUUAUCAAAAUAACAGUGAAUUAUAAUCCCUUUUUGGAAAUGAGGGAAUGUAAAUUUUAAAAGUUAAGCAAUUAUCCAAGGUGACACAGCUGUGAAAGUGGUAGAGGCCAGGCUUUCUGACACCCAGUCCAGUACUCUCCUUGGAAUUAGCCUCCAUUUUACCCACAGUGUUAAAAUGGCUGGGUAUUGGGAACCUCAGGAAAUUUUCCAGCUUCCUGAUCUGGUGCCCCUAGUCACAUAGGAUGUGUGAUCACGUGAUAGCUACAUCUGGACCAGAAUCCCAUGGCAAUAUCCCACGGUUUAAGGGCAUAAUAUCUCCGUGGUGGUAGAUUGUCAAGUCAAAAACGGGACAUGUUCUAACAGCAAAGCUACCCAAUAUGAAACACAAAGCUACUUUUAGAUUUUUUAAGACUUACUGAUAUUCCUGGGCCCUAAGAGC